AUGAAUGGGUUCCCCCCCAAAUUUUGUCUACUCAGCCCUCUGCAUCGCCUCCAAGCCCAGCCAUCCCCGUGCCUAUCAGGAGCCCCAACGCUGCCUGGGGCCAGCAGCACCCGUUGCACAGCUGGAGCGGGGCCGAGGCCUGAGAAAGCCCCCGCGCGUUCCCCUCCCGCCUUCUCCCUUCCCCUUCCCGGCUCCAUCCGCUGCAGCCCAGACCAGCUGGAGCCAGGCGGCCCUUCCUGGGAUUUAUUCCAGCUUCCUGCCCCUCCUCGCCGGCAGGCCGGGGACGGGGCUGCUCUCGCCUGCUUCCUCUCCCUGCUCGCAGCCGACGGCCGGGCGCCGGCGCUCCGUGGGACCCCGGCUCUCACCAGCGGCCCCCCCACCGUGGCCGGGUGUCCCUGGCUCCAGGUGCUGGGACACAGCACCGGGGGACGGGGUGGAUGGAGCAGGGUGCUGCCCCCAGCACCCAUCCCUUUUAGGGAGGCUCUGCAGGGCGCCGGGGACCAGCAGACCCCACGUGUCCCCCCCAAGCACCCCACGCUCAGCGUUUGCACCCAUGGGUGCUCCCUGUGCGCCCACAGCCCGUCCUACUGGGGCUGCGGGGCUGAGUUCAGCCCCUGGCACAAGGGGAAGGUGCCCGGGGUGUCGCAGGCAGUGUUUGAGGAGGGGGGAAUCACCCCAAACCCCUCAUCUAGGGCAGCAGGGAUGGAGCCAUCCCCCAGCCCCGUGGACGGAGGGCUCACGCUGGAGCCGGGGGGAUUUUUCCGUGUCCCCCACAAACCAAAGGGACCCCACAGCAGGGGGAAGGUGGCUCAGACAGAGCGGAGCCGCGCAGCCGCUGCAGGACCCAGGUGCAGCAGGGGCAGGAGAGCCCCGGGGGCCGCCCAGGCGCUGGCUCUGCUCCCAGCUCCUUGCAGGGCCCGAGCGCUUCCUUCCUCCGGGCUCUGCCCCGCUUAUCGGCCGGGCAGGGCCGGGGUGACCCCGCUGUCCCCUCUCCGUGCCUUUCCGCUCCCCGUGGCGCCGCAGGGAGCCCCUUGGAGAGCUCCCAGCUCGCUGCCACGCUCCUGCUGCCCACAGCUCCAUGGGAAGAAGCAGGGAGCGAGGAGGCAGAGGGCGAGGCGAGGGGCACGGCUGGGGGACCAAACGCACCCCAAAACCACGGAGGCUGAGCGGGGAUAG
rnacentral:lncRNA from 1 species